rnacentral:rRNA from 1 species
AUUGAACGCUGGCGGCAGGCCUAACACAUGCAAGUCGAGCGGCAGCGGAAAGUAGCUUGCUACUUUGCCGGCGAGCGGCGGACGGGUGAGUAAUGUCUGGGAGACUGCCUGAUGGAGGGGGAUAACUACUGGAAACGGUAGCUAAUACCGCAUAACGUCGCAAGACCAAAGAGGGGGACCUUCGGGCCUCUUGCCAUCAGAUGUGCCCAGAUGGGAUUAGCUAGUAGGUGGGGUAACGGCUCACCUAGGCGACGGUCCCUAGCUGGUCUGAGAGGAUGACCAGCCACACUGGAACUGAGACACGGUCCAGACUCCUACGGGAGGCAGCAGUGGGGAAUAUUGCACAAUGGGCGCAAGCCUGAUGCAGCCAUGCCGCGUGUAUGAAGAAGGCCUUCGGGUUGUAAAGUACUUUCAGCGGGGAGGAGGGUGUUGAGGUUAAUAACCUCAGCAAUUGACGUUACCCGCAGAAGAAGCACCGGCUAACUCCGUGCCAGCCGCCGCCGUAACAC